UAUAGCAGAAUAAAAUCAGAUUUAACAAGUAAGAGAGCUAUGAGCUAUUCAUCGGGUGUAACCGCACAUUUAAAUAACUAGCAAAUUGGCCGAUAUAAAUAUGUGGUAUAAAGUCUAUUGGAAAUUCGAAAAUCUUUAUAAUAUAAGUUAAGGUCCGGUUUUGGCAAUUUUCAAACCUGAGAUGGUAUACCUUGAAGGAAAUAUUCGAGCAAUUGUUUAUUGCGAUAUAUACGACAUAGGGUCAACCGGAGCGUACAAUCAGAUAAUUCCCUAAAUCAGCGUACCCUAUAUACAAGUCACGGGAACCACAUACGUCCCUUUAUGAACUUUUAAACCUAAACGAAGCUUGAUUGAG